UGGACAAAUUAUUAUAUUCGACUAUAUUCACGACACGAAACAGGGGAUUACACUGUUUUUAAACGGAAAGUGAAUCAAUUAAUAUAAUAGACUCCU
rnacentral:pre_miRNA from 1 species